rnacentral:rRNA from 1 species
CCUACGGGAGGCAGCAGUGGGGAAUCUUGCGCAAUGGGCGAAAGCCUGACGCAGCAACGCCGCGUGCGGGAUGAAGGCCUUAGGGUUGUAAACCGCUUUCAGCAGGGAAGAAAAUGACUGUACCUGCAGAAGAAGGUGCGGCCAACUACGUGCCAGCAGCCGCGGUGACACGUAGGCACCAAGCGUUGUCCGGAUUUAUUGGGCGUAAAGAGCUCGUAGGCGGUUCAGUUAGUUGGGUGUGAAAACUCCGGGCUUAACCCGGAGCCGCCACCCAAUACUGCUGUGACUAGAGUUCGGUAGGGGAGCGGGGAAUUCCUAGUGUAGCGGUGAAAUGCGCAGAUAUUAGGAGGAACACCGGUGGCGAAGGCGCCGCUCUGGGCCGAAACUGACGCUGAGGAGCGAAAGCAUGGGUAGCAAACAGGAUUAGAUACCCUGGUAGUCCAUGCCGUAAACGUUGGGCACUAGGUGUGGGCUUCAUCCAACGAAGUCCGCGCCGUCGCUAACGCAUUAAGUGCCCCGCCUGGGGAGUACGGUCGCGAGACGAAACUACGAAGAAGUAGACGGCGUGAGACGUUGCGAGGACGACGACGAGGGAGAGG